GUGCUGGCUUUGGCAGCACAUAUACUAAAAUUGGAAUGAUACAGAGAUUAGCGUGGCCCUGUGCAAGGGUGACACGCAAAUUUGUGAAACAUUCCAUAGUUUU